rnacentral:rRNA from 1 species
CAUGUCCUUAAGUAAUGAAUUUAAGGUCUAGCCUGCCCAGUGAUUAUUUAAAUGGCCGCAGUAUAUUGACUGUGCAAAGGUAGCAUAAUAAUUAGUUUUUUAAUUGGGGACUAGAAUGAAUGGUUGGACGAGAAAAUUUCUGUCUCUUUUUUAUUUUUUGGAAUUUAAUUUUUGAGUUAAAAAGCUUAGAUUUUAUAAUAAGACGAGAAGACCCUAUAGAGUUUUAUAUUAAUUAAAAUUUUUGAUUUUAGUAUUUAUUAUUAAGUUUUAUUUUAAUAUUUUGUUGGGGUGACAGGAAGAUUAAUUAAACUCUUUUUUCUUAAAUACAUUGAUAAAUGAUUUGAUGAUCCAUUUUUUGUGAUUAUAAGAUUAAAUUACCUUAGGGAUAACAGCGUUAUUUUUUUAGAGAGUUCUAAUCGAUAAAGGAAAUUGCGACCUCGAUGUUGGAUUAAAAUUUAUUUUGGGUGCAAAAGCUUAAAUAUUGGGUCUGUUCGACCCUUAAAAUUUUACAUGAUCUGAGU